rnacentral:rRNA from 1 species
CAGUAGCCGCGGGAAUACGAAGGGUGCAAGCGUUACUCGGAAUUACUGGGCGUAAAGCGUGCGUAGGUGGUGGUUUAAGUCCGUUGUGAAAGCCCUAGGCUCAACCUGGGAAUUGCAGUGGAUACUGGGUCACUAGAGUGUGGUAGAGGAUAGUGGAAUUUCCGGUGUAGCAGUGAAAUGCGUAGAGAUCGGAAGGAACAUCUGUGGCGAAGGCGACUAUCUGGGCCAACACUGACACUGAGGCACGAAAGCGUGGGGAGCAAACAGGAUUAGAUACCCCUGUAGUCCCUGUCUCUUAUAA